rnacentral:rRNA from 1 species
GACGAACGCUGGCGGCGUGCUUAACACAUGCAAGUCGAACGGAAAGGCCCUGCUUUUGUGGGGUGCUCGAGUGGCGAACGGGUGAGUAACACGUGAGUAACCUGCCCUUGACUUUGGGAUAACUUCAGGAAACUGGGGCUAAUACCGGAUAGGAGCUCCUGCUGCAUGGUGGGGGUUGGAAAGUUUCGGCGGUUGGGGAUGGACUCGCGGCUUAUCAGCUUGUUGGUGGGGUAGUGGCUUACCAAGGCUUUGACGGGUAGCCGGCCUGAGAGGGGGACCGGGCACAUGGGGAAGAAGUUACGGAGCGGUCGCCUGCGGGAGGCAGCAGUGGGGAGUGUGGCAUGAUGGGCUGGAGCCUGUUGCCGGCGCGCCGCGUGCGGGAAGCCGGCCUUCGGGUUGUAAACCGCUUUCGCCUGUGACGCAGCGUGAGUGACGGUAAUGGGUAAAGAAGCACCGGCUAACUCCGUG